rnacentral:rRNA from 1 species
UACGGAGGGUGCAAGCAUUGAUCGGAAUUACUGGGCGUAAAGGGCGCGUAGGCGGCCAGAUAAGUCAGAUGUGAAAUUCCGGGGCUCAACCCCGGAGCGGCAUUUGAAACUAUUUGACUUGAGUACAGUUAGGGUAAACGGAAUUCCACGUGUAGCGGUGAAAUGCGUAGAUAUGUGGAAGAACACCGGUGGUGAAGACGGUUUACUGGGCUGAAACUGACGCUGAGGCGCGAAAGCUAGGGGGGCAAACAGG